UACGAAGGGGGCUAGCGUUGUUCGGAAUUACUGGGCGUAAAGCGCACGUAGGCGGAUAUUUAAGUUAGGGGUGAAAUCCCAGGGCUCAACCCUGGAACUGCCUCUAAUACUGGGUAUCUCGAGUCCGAGAGAGGUGAGUGGAAUUCCGAGUGUAGAGGUGAAAUUCGUAGAUAUUAGGAGGAACACCGGUGGCGAAGGCGACUUUCUGGACGAUAACUGACGCUGAGACGCGAAAGCGUGGGGAGCAAACAGGAUUAGAUACCCCCGUAGUCCCUGAGCGGGCU
rnacentral:rRNA from 1 species